AUCUAGCCGACGAGUCGCAAAUUGGACGAAACGCGCGUCCUGGAU
rnacentral:hammerhead_ribozyme from 1 species